AAAGCUAAAAUUUAAGGAACAGUCAAAGCUAUCAAACAGCACUUUCCUGGCUUUGCACUUGAGGAUAAUUUGGAUGAUGAUUAUUCUCAGAUGGAUUUACAUGCAUUCAAGACUGUAGCUGAGCAUUUCAGGACAACCUGUUUUGACUGGCACAAGGAAGAGUUUCAGAUGGCCCUGUCACACACACAUGUAUUUGCUCGUCUCUGUGCACGUGGAGUUAAACCAGAGAGAAUCAUAGCGGUCAUAACAGCAGUCUCCAGGAGAAGGAUGUUCCUACAGUAAUAGAAACAUACUUAACCCUUAAACAGGCAAGAGUGGAAAAUGAUAAGCAAAAAAUAUUUUCAUGACUAUUUUAUAUCAUCUGAGCUUAAGUAAAACAUACCCAAAAUAAUUUGUGAAAUAUUUGAUAUAUUUUGGAUUUUAUGAGUUGUGACUCCCAGGUCACGUUGCCUGAAUGGGGAAUAAAAAAAGGACCAAGUCAUUAAUCUGUUAACUGUUACUAGCCUACUUGCCACUGCAUGCUUAAAAUUAUAUCCUAUACUUUACCUGAUGUAAUGUUGACAAAUUAUAUAUCAUCCAAAACUCAAGAUUCAGCCUGUGAAAACCAUUUUGAAAUCGGACCUUGCUUUACCAUAAAAAUGGUACUUUCAUUUCUUUUAGCAAGCUCCUCACCGAGUGGGUGGUGUCAGGUUUUGUAUUACAAAGAUUAUUUGAACUACUUUAUAAAACAAAACUUUUCUAAUCUUGCCAAAACACAGAUCAUCGUAAAGUUCUGAAUCUCAAGGUCCCAUCUGCCAACUGUUUUUUGAUAUUGAGACUGAAAUGUAUAUAUUUGAUAAAAAAAAACACCCAGUGGCUAUUUUUGGUACAAUGCCUAAAAAUCUAAAUAAAAGUUACAUUUUGUGAUAUCAAAUUAAAAUUUAGAACACAAAUUGGUUAGACAUAUG